rnacentral:rRNA from 1 species
AUUGAACGCUGGCGGCAGGCCUAACACAUGCAAGUCGAACGAGUGGCGGACGGGUGAGUAAUGUAUGGGAAACUGCACGAUGGAGGGGGAUAACUACUGGAAACGGUAGCUAAUACCGCAUACCAUCGGAUGUGCCCAGAUGGGAUGAGCUAGUAGGGGGGGUAAAGGCUAACCGAGGGGACGCUCCCUAGCUGGUCUGAGAGGAUGACCAGCCACACUGGAACUGAGACACGGUCCAGACUCCUACGGGAGGCAGCAGUGGGGAAGAUUGCACAAUGGGCGCAAGCCUGAUGCAGCCAUGCCGCGUGUGGGAAGAAGGCCUUCGGGUUGUAAAGCACUUUCAGCGGGGAGGCGUUACCCGCAGAAGAAGCACCGGCUAACUCCGUGCCAGCAGCCGCGGUAAUAC